CAGUAGCCGCGGUAAUACGGAGGGUGCAAGCGUUAAUCGGAAUUACUGGGCGUAAAGCGCACGCAGGCGGUUUGUUAAGUCAGAUGUGAAAUCCCCGGGCUCAACCUGGGAACUGCAUUUGAAACUGGCAAGCUAGAGUCUCGUAGAGGGGGGUAGAAUUCCAGGUGUAGCGGUGAAAUGCGUAGAGAUCUGGAGGAAUACCGGUGGCGAAGGCGGCCCCCUGGACAAAGACUGACGCUCAGGUGCGAAAGCGUGGGGAGCAAACAGGAUUAGAUACCCCGGUAGUCCCUGUCUCUUAUAC
rnacentral:rRNA from 1 species